rnacentral:rRNA from 1 species
UACGAAGGGAGCUAGCGUUGUUCGGAAUCACUGGGAGUAAAGCGCACGUAGGCGGACUUGUCAGUCAGGGGUGAAAUCCCGGGGCUCAACCUCGGAACUGCCUCUGAUACAGCAAGUCUUGAGUCCGGAAGAGGUGGGUGGAAUUCCUAGUGUAGAGGUGAAAUUCGUAGAUAUUAGGAAGAACACCGGUGGCGAAGGCGGCCCACUGGUCCGGUACUGACGCUGAGGUGCGAAAGCGUGGGGAGCAAACAGG